rnacentral:ncRNA from 1 species
AAAGCUUGUAAUUGGUUUAACCCAUUCGACUAUGCUACACCUACCUUAACCGGCGGGGAAUCGCCUGACCUACACUUUACUCGAGGGAAUGAACUCCUACCUAUGUAAAAUGUAGAGAUCCUGUAGGGAGAAAUGAGUGCUCUCUGUAAGAUUGUUAAUCGGCGCUGUUUCCACCGAAGAGGAGACGGCCUCUCUCCUUGCAUGAAUUCGUUCCCCAAAUCUUAACCUUGUGGAUCGUCACUAGCUUGGAGGGUCAAAUCAUUAACAAGCACAAGCACGGGGGGCAUAAUUGGGUUGCCAGAGACGGCAUUCUCGUAUGUAUUGAAGGCUAGCUACUGCCAGAGGCGACAUUCUGGUACAUAUCCAAGAAUAACUCUUUCCAAAGAAAAUAUCGCUCAUGUUCUCAUUAAUCACAAACCAAAAUUGGGGGGCCGAGGACUGAUCAGAUACCAUUCCUAGCCCCCGUCAUAAACUAUGCCGACUAGGGGUCGGACGAUGUUAUUUUUUGACUCGUUCGGCACCUUACGAGAAAUGGAUUGCCUUUGGGUU